UACGGGGGGGGCAAGCGUUGUUCGGAAUUACUGGGCGUAAAGGGUUCGUAGGUGGCCAACUCAGUCAGACGUGAAAUCCCUCAGCUUAACUGGGGAACUGCGUCUGAUACUAGAUGGCUCGAGUGCAGGAGAGGAACGCGGAAUUCCAGGUGUAGCGGUGAAAUGCGUAGAUAUCUGGAGGAACACCGGUGGCGAAGGCGGCGUUCUGGACUGCAACUGACACUGAGGAACGAAAGCGUGGGGAGCAAACAGG
rnacentral:rRNA from 1 species